rnacentral:rRNA from 1 species
GACGAACGCUGGCGGCGUGCUUAACACAUGCAAGUCGAACGGAAAGGCCCUUCGGGGUACUCGAGUGGCGAACGGGUGAGUAACACGUGGGUGAUCUGCCCUGCACUUUGGGAUAAGCCUGGGAAACUGGGUCUAAUACCGAAUAGGACCACGCGCUUCAUGGUGUGUGGUGGAAAGCUUUUGCGGUGUGGGAUGGGCCCGCGGCCUAUCAGCUUGUUGGUGGGGUAAUGGCCUACCAAGGCGACGACGGGUAGCCGGCCUGAGAGGGUGACCGGCCACACUGGGACUGAGAUACGGCCCAGAGGCGUACGGGAGGCAGCAGUGGGGAAUAGUGCAGAAGGGGCGCAAGCCUGAUGCAGCGACGCCGCGUGAGGGAUGACGGCCGUCGGGUUGUAAGCCGCUUUCAAUAGGGACGAAGCGCAAGUGACGGUACCUAUAGAAGAAGCACCGGCCAACUACGUG